UACAGAGGGUGCGAGCGUUAAUCGGAAUUACUGGGCGUAAAGCGUGCGCAGGCGGUUUGCUAAGACAGGUGUGAAAUCCCCGGGCUUAACCUGGGAACUGCGCUUGUAACUGGCAAGCUAGAGCGUGGCAGAGGGGGGUGGAAUUCCACGUGUAGCAGUGAAAUGCGUAGAGAUGUGGAGGAACACCGAUGGCGAAGGCAGCCCCCUGGGCUAACACUGACGCUCAUGCACGAAAGCGUGGGGAGCGAACAGG
rnacentral:rRNA from 1 species